CUGAUGCGUUGUUGGGUAGGGGAGCGUUCUGUAAGCCUGCGAAGGUGGCCUGUGAGGGUUGCUGGAGGUAUCAGAAGUGCGAAUGCUGACAUAAGUAACGAUAAAGCGGGUGAAAAGCCCGCUCGCCGGAAGACCAAGGGUUCCUGUCCAACGUUAAUCGGGGCAGGGUGAGUCGACCCCUAAGGCGAGGCCGAAAGGCGUAGUCGAUGGGAAACGGGUUAAUAUUCCCGUACUUGGUGUUACUGCGAAGGGGGGACGGAGAAGGCUAUGUUGGCCGGGCGACGGUUGUCCCGGUUUAAGCGUGUAGGUGUGUGUUCCAGGUAAAUCCGGUUCACUUUAACACUGAGGCGUGACGACGAGGCACUACGGUGCUGAAGCAACAAAUGCCCUGCUUCCAGGAAAAGCCUCUAAGCAUCAGGUAACAUCAAAUCGUACCCCAAACCGACACAGGUGGUCAGGUAGAGAAUACCAAGGCGCUUGAGAGAACUCGGGUGAAGGAACUAGGCAAAAUGGUGCCGUAACUUCGGGAGAAGGCACGCUGACACGUAGGUGAAGUGAUUUACUCAUGGAGCUGAAGUCAGUCGAAGAUACCAGCUGGCUGCAACUGUUUAUUAAAAACACAGCACUGUGCAAACACGAAAGUGGACGUAUACGGUGUGACGCCUGCCCGGUGCCGGAAGGUUAAUUGAUGGGGUCAGCGCAAGCGAAGCUCCUGAUCGAAGCCCCGGUAAACGGCGGCCGUAACUAUAACGGUCCUAAGGUAGCGAAAUUCCUUGUCGGGUAAGUUCCGACCUGCACGAAUGGCGUAAUGAUGGCCAGGCUGUCUCCACCCGAGACUCAGUGAAAUUGAACUCGCUGUGAAGAUGCAGUGUACCCGCGGCAAGACGGAAAGACCCCGUGAACCUUUACUAUAGCUUGACACUGAACAUUGAGCCUUGAUGUGUAGGAUAGGUGGGAGGCUUUGAAGUGUGGACGCCAGUCUGCAUGGAGCCGACCUUGAAAUACCACCCUUUAAUGUUUGAUGUUCUAACGUGGACCCGUGAACCGGGUUGCGGACAGUGUCUGGUGGGUAGUUUGACUGGGGCGGUCUCCUCCUAAAGAGUAACGGAGGAGCACGAAGGUUGGCUAAUCCUGGUCGGACAUCAGGAGGUUAGUGCAAUGGCAUAAGCCAGCUUGACUGCGAGCGUGACGGCGCGAGCAGGUGCGAAAGCAGGUCAUAGUGAUCCGGUGGUUCUGAAUGGAAGGGCCAUCGCUCAACGGAUAAAAGGUACUCCGGGGAUAACAGGCUGAUACCGCCCAAGAGUUCAUAUCGACGGCGGUGUUUGGCACCUCGAUGUCGGCUCAUCACAUCCUGGGGCUGAAGUAGGUCCCAAGGGUAUGGCUGUUCGCCAUUUAAAGUGGUACGCGAGCUGGGUUUAGAACGUCGUGAGACAGUUCGGUCCCUAUCUGCCGUGGGCGCUGGAGAACUGAGGGGGGCUGCUCCUAGUACGAGAGGACCGGAGUGGACGCAUCACUGGUGUUCGGGUUGUCAUGCCAAUGGCACUGCCCGGUAGCUAAAUGCGGAAGAGAUAAGUGCUGAAAGCAUCUAAGCACGAAACUUGCCCCGA
rnacentral:rRNA from 1 species